GACGAACGCUGGCGGCGUGCCUAAUACAUGCCAGUUGAGCGCUGAAGGUUGGUACUUGUACCAACUGGAUGAGCAGCGAACGGGUGAGUAACGCGUGGGGAAUCUGCCUUUGAGCGGGGGACAACAUUUGGAAACGAAUGCUAAUACCGCAUAAAAACUUUAAACACAAGUUUUAAGUUUGAAAGGUGCAAUUGCAUCACUCAAAGAUGAUCCCGCGUUGUAUUAGCUAGUUGGUGAGGUAAAGGCUCACCAAGGCGAUGAUACAUAGCCGACCUGAGAGGGUGAUCGGCCACGUUGGGACUGAGACACGGCCCAAACUCCUGCGGGAGGCAGCAGUAGGGAAUCUUCGGCAAUGGACGAAAGUCUGACCGAGCAACGCCGCGGGAGUGAAGAAGGGUUUCGGAUCGUAAAACUCUGUUGGUAGAGAAGAACGUUGGUGAGAGUGGAAAGCUCAUCAAAUGACGUUAACUACCCAGAAAGGGACGGCUAACUACGUG
rnacentral:rRNA from 1 species